rnacentral:rRNA from 1 species
GACGAACGCUGGCGGCGCGCCUAACACAUGCAAGUCGAACGAGCGAGAGAGAGCUUGCUUUCUCGAGCGAGUGGCGAACGGGUGAGUAACGCGUGAGGAACCUGCCUCAAAGAGGGGGACAACAGUUGGAAACGACUGCUAAUACCGCAUAAGCCCACGACCCGGCAUCGGGUAGAGGGAAAAGGAGCAAUCCGCUUUGAGAUGGCCUCGCGUCCGAUUAGCUAGUUGGUGAGGUAACGGCCCACCAAGGCGACGAUCGGUAGCCGGACUGAGAGGUUGAACGGCCACAUUGGGACUGAGACACGGCCCAGACUCCUACGGGAGGCAGCAGUGGGGAAUAUUGCACAAUGGGGGAAACCCUGAUGCAGCGACGCCGCGUGGAGGAAGAAGGUCUUCGGAUUGUAAACUCCUGUUGUUGAGGAAGAUAAUGACGGUACUCAACAAGGAAGUGACGGC